CAACCAACCAACCACUUCCUGGCGCAGUUCAAAUUGACUCUAGUAGGGAGUCCUUUUAACGAGAGACUCCCUAACGGAGUCAGAUUGAAUUACAAAGGAGCGAGACAACGACUACGUG
rnacentral:pre_miRNA from 15 species